UACGAAGGGGGCGAGCGUUGCUCGGAAUCACUGGGCGUAAAGCGCACGUAGGCGGCUUUCUAAGUCAGGGGUGAAAUCCUGGAGCUCAACUCCAGAACUGCCUUUGAUACUGGAGAGCCUUGAGUCCGGAAGAGGUGAGUGGAACUCCGAGUGUAGAGGUGAAAUUCGUAGAUAUUCGGAAGAACACCAGUGGCGAAGGCGACAUACUGGUCCGUUACUGACGCUGAGGCUCGAAGGCCAGGGGAGCAAACGGG
rnacentral:rRNA from 1 species